GAUUUCAACUGAAGAAGUCAUCAACAAGAAAGUUGUAUGACUCAUGAAUAUCUAUAACUUUUAUUUUGGUCAUAUCUUCAUCUGGCAAAGUGAUAUUAACAUUGUUCACAAAAUUUCCAAAUCUCUCUUAUAGUUUAUAAAACCGUAUAAGAGAUAUGUAAAUUUUAUGAACAAUUUUACUAUCACUUUGUCGGAUGAAGAAAUGACCAAAAUAAAAAUUGUACAUUCAGAUGGAUUAUACAACUUUGUUGUUGAUGACUUUUUCAGUUGAAGUC
rnacentral:pre_miRNA from 1 species